rnacentral:tRNA from 1 species
GGGCGAUUAACUCAGCGGUAGAGUGCCACCUUCACACGGUGGAAGCCAGUGGUUCGAUCCCACUAUCGCCCA